rnacentral:rRNA from 1 species
GAGUUUGAUCGUGGCUCAGAUUGAACGCUGGCGGCAUGCCUUACACAUGCAAGUCGAACGGCAGCAUGAUCUAGCUUGCUAGAUUGAUGGCGAGUGGCGAACGGGUGAGUAAUACAUCGGAACGUGCCCUGUAGUGGGGGAUAACUAGUCGAAAGAUUAGCUAAUACCGCAUACGACCUGAGGGUGAAAGUGGGGGACCGCAAGGCCUCAUGCUAUAGGAGCGGCCGAUGUCUGAUUAGCUAGUUGGUGGGGUAAAGGCCCUCCAAGGCGACGAUCAGUAGCUGGUCUGAGAGGACGAUCAGCCACACUGGGACUGAGACACGGCCCAGACUCCUACGGGAGGCAGCAGUGGGGGAUUUUGGACAAUGGGCGAAAGCCUGAUCCAGCAAUGCCGCGUGUGUGAAGAAGGCCU